GUCCGCUAACGAGCGCAACCCUCGCUGUGUGUUAUAUGUGUCACACGGGACUGCCGGUCUUAAGCCGGAGGAAGGUGGGGAUGAUGUCAAGUCAGCAUGGCCUUUAUAUCCUGGGCUACACACACGCUACAAUGGCCAACACAAUAGGUUGCUAAGCCGCGAGGUGGCGCCAAUCCAUAAAGUUGGUCUCAGUUCAGAUUGUAGGCUGCAACCCGCCUGCAUGAAGAUGGAGUUGCUAGUAACCGCAGGCCAGCUAUACUGCGGUGAAUACGUUCCCGGGGCUU
rnacentral:rRNA from 1 species